GAGCGGGCGUAGCAAUACGUCAGCGGCAGACGGGUGAGUAACGCGUGGGAACGUACCUUUUGGUUCGGAACAACCCAGGGAAACUUGGGCUAAUACCGGAUAAGCCCUUACGGGGAAAGAUUUAUCGCCGAAAGAUCGGCCCGCGUCUGAUUAGCUAGUUGGUGAGGUAAUGGCUCACCAAGGCGACGAUCAGUAGCUGGUCUGAGAGGGCGACCGGCCACACUGGGGCUGAGACACGGCCCAGACUCCUACGGGAGGCAGCAGUGGGGAAUAUUGCACAAUGGGGGAAACCCUGAUGCAGCGACGCCGCGUGCGGGAUGAAGGCCUUCGGGUUGUAAACCGCUUUCACCAGGGACGAAGCGAGAGUGACGGUAUAUGGGGAAGAAGCGCCGGCUAUCUAGGUGCCCGCAGCAGCGGUAAG
rnacentral:rRNA from 1 species